rnacentral:rRNA from 1 species
GAGGAAACUUGUGCUAAUACCGGAUAAGUCUUUACGGAGAAAGCUUUAUGUACCAUUGGAUGAGCCUGCACUUGAUUAGUUUGUUGGUGGGGUAAUGGCCUACCAAGACUGUGAUCAAUAGCUGAUUUGAGAGGAUGAUCAGCCACAUUGGGACUGAGACACGGCCCAAACUCCUACGGGAGGCAGCAGUGGGGAAUCUUGCACAAUGGAGGAAACUCUGAUGCAGCGAUGCCGCGUGAGUGAAGAAGGCCCUUGGGUUGUAAAGCUCUUUCGUCGGGGAAGAAAAUGACUGUACCCGAAUAAGAAGG